UUCUGGUUGAUCCUGCCAGAGGCGACCGCUUUUGGAGUUCGAUUAAGCCAUGCGAGUCGAGAGCCUUAGGGGCUCGGCAUACUGCUCAGUAACACGUGGAUAACCUGCCCUAUUGUCUGGAAUAACCUCGGGAAACUGAGAACAAGGCCGGAUAACCCACAAUGCCUGGAACGGUUUGUGGGUGAAGAUAGGAUGGGUCUGCGGCGUAUCAGGUCGUAGGGGGUGUAAUGGACCUCCUAGCCAUCGACGCGUACGGGUGUUGGGAGACAUAGCCCGGAGAUGGAUUCUGAGACACGAAUCCAGACCCUACGGGGUGCAGCAGGCGCGAAAACUUCACACUGCAGGAAACUGUGAUGAGGGAACUCCAAGUGCAUUCACUAUGUGGAUGCUUUUUUUGACUAUUAAUCGGUCAACGAAUAAGGGCUGGGAAAGACCGGUGCCAGCCGCCGCGGUAAUACCGGCAGCUCAAGUGGUCGUCGCUUUUAUUGGGCCUAAAACGUCCGUAGCCUGUUUGGUAAAUCUGUGGGUAAAUCAACCAGCUUAACUGGUUGAAUUCUGCAGAGACUGCCAGACUAGGGACCGGGAGAGGUGUGGGGUACUCUAGGGGUAGGGGUAAAAUCCUGUCAUCCUUAGAGGACCACCAGUUGCGAAGGCGCCACACUGGAACGGAUCCGACGGUCAGGGACGAAGCCUAGGGGCACGAACCGGAUUAGAUACCCGGGUAGUCCUAGGUGUAAACGCUGUGAACUUGGUGUCGGGGAUCCGCAAUGGGUCCUCGGUGCCGGAGUGAAGAUGUUAAGUUCACUGCCUGGGGAGUACGGUCGCAAGGCUGAAACUUAAAGGAAUUGGCGGGGGAGCACUGCAACGGGAGGAGCGUGCGGUUUAAUUGGACUCAACGCCGGGA
rnacentral:rRNA from 1 species